UCUCCAUUCCCACCUUCCAACUUCUCCUCUACGGCAGCCGUCAACACUCAUUGGAGACUUCUCUUUGCUAUGCAGUGAAGUGCGUCACAGUGGUCACCGUCUGUUGCAGCGCAAAGAGCUAUUCAUCGCGUCACCAAAACUGCAGGGAGAAGAUCGUUGUCAUCUAGCUAUUGAUCGUUGAAUCUGCCCCAAGAGCUAUUCGAUAUCUGUGUCUUUGGAGUAGUUUGAAAUUGUGUCAUCGAAUAUGCUUGGAUAUGUUUGAAAUCUACUUCGCUGUAGCUGUUCAAAAUCAUGUCGCUUCACCAAAAUUGCAUAAAGAAGCUUGCCAUCUUCCGGUUGUGUGUCAUUAGAGAUUCGAAUCCUUGCCACCGUUCCUAUCCAGCCGUGCGCAGAAAGUUUACCUUCUUGUGCAAUUCCACAUUUUCUUGACGCAAGAGGUUUCCCUGCAGAAAAUGAGCAUUGUUUGAAUUAAUGAAGAAUUGUAGAACUGGUAAGGAAUCUUUUGUCUUGGAACUGACCUUUCGGUUUAUUUCCUGUAUUUCAUCCAUUAAAAGUUGAUCCUGCAUCAGUCAAAUCAUGUUAAUACUUCAGUUUUUAUUAUAGAAAGAAAAGAUUAGUUUAUGCUAUAUUGAGUAUCAAAAAGCUAAUUGCUCAACCUUUUUUAGACGGACACCUCGAAGGCUAAUUUCCAACUGGCUUUCUAAACUCUGUAAUUCUUUGACAGUCAAACCUGAAAGUUCUUCUCCCAUUAUUUGCCUGUUAAUCAUACAAUAAAUAUGUUUGAGCCUUUUGCUUUGACGAUUGAGAAAUUAUUCUUAAGGAUAGAGACAAGGGAUACAUAUAAUCUAGCAAGGACUUGAACAAUACAUCAUCAAGGCUCUCAGCUUUAUGUACUCUAUAACAGCAAUAGCAAUUCACUUUCUGUUGCCCGUUUGCAUAAUUUUCAAUUAGAGGUGAUUAGGUCUUAUUAAUCUUCAUGUGCCAGGUAAUGUAUUUCAUGUUUAUCUUUGUAUUCUCGUUAGUAGUGAAUUCAGUACUCACAUUUUCAUAUAAAUAGUGGGAUUUCUUUUUAAGACAAAUAUAACUUGAGGGAUUUAGUAAAAUGGAUCUCUCUAGUUUGAAGAAAAUAUUCAUUAAACCUGUUAUUUGUAUUCUUUUUUUAUUAAUCCUCUUUGUAUUUGGUGCCAUUGGAGGGUGAAAUAAUUGUUCUUAUGUCUUAUAAUUUUAAAGUUGUAUACACUAGUUCUUUUGACAGUUUAACAUGGACAUAUGUCUGAUAAUGUUAUAAUUUUCUUACGCAUUUAAAGUUGCAUACACUAGUUCUCUGACAGUUUAUAUGGACGUACAUCUGAUAAUGUUACUAAUAGAAAUCCAAUUUGUGACCUUGAAUGAAUAAUUUUCUUGUUUCGCUUUGUCAAAAUUGUAACCUGACUUUAAAGGAGUAGAUUAACAUGUUCUUUUUUAACAUCAAUAUUUCUAAACUUAUCUUAAGAAAGUAGAUAUUUAAUCCUUUGGUUUUAUUUGCAGAGUACUUGCCAAUUUUCAAUGCUUAUUUUUAUAUUUUUGCCCUUAUUAGAUGUUUUGAAUAAAAUUAUCGGUAAUGAAAUUGAAAAAUAUUUAUUAGUGAUAAAGGUGAAAACCUAUUAAAUUUUAAGAUAAAGUUAUUAAGGUUUAAGAUUUUCCUUGAUUCCAGUGAAACAUCCUAAAAGUGAUUUAUAAAUAAGAUCACUAGAGGGAGUAUUUUGUAGAAGGAAGAAGAUACCGGUGACUCUCUUGCAAGUUCUGCAACUGUUGCCUCAACAUUGCUGCCUCCCUUUGCCAAAACUAGAAAAUGAAGAGAGAGAGAGAGAGAGACAGAGAGCAAAACACGGUGCACUUAGAUGUUAAAGGAAUAUAAGACACUAGGGAUUAGUACUUUAAUUUUACCAUAGUAUUUCCAAUUUCUUGAGACAUUUAGGUAAUAGCAUGGUAGAUUUUUUUUUGGGUGCAUAAUUUAUGGAUGAAUCAACAAAAAAACUACCAUUGCAUGCCUGUAUUUCCCCUUAAAGGAAGUCCUCAAUGUGAUUUCUUCUUUGCUAGAUAGAUAUCUAAUGUCUUUCAUAAAAGGAUGAUAUUUCAUGAAUAAAACUUUUUUACAUCACAAAAUACUGAUUGCAGGUCAUAAUUUAAACAUGUUUUUUUUAAUAAGUUCAAUUCUUAUUGCUCAGUAAUUUAUCAUUGCUGAUGCUUGAUAAACCAUUUUAUGACAGUGCCUUAAGGCGAGGUGAUCUCUUCAGUAACUAGAUUGCUGCUUACUAUGGAAAUCUAAAUCACAUACUCCAUAUAUCGAAAUUUAAAUUUCCUCAUUUUUUUCCUUUUGGGAUACUAUAUACAGUGUAUGCUUCUCGGUUUUCCUGGAUUCCUCUCCCUUUUAACUUAAAGUUACCAUGUAGAAAAAUUGACGUCUUCUUCAAUUAGUUCUUGAUUUUUUUUUUUGGGUCUCAUGAUAAAUGGCUUGCUUAAUUGGAAAAUAAUGUCAGUGUGAAACUUGGAAAGUGUCAGCUGCUUAAGAAACUCAUGAAAUACCUUUACUUCAGAGGUUGAACCUCCAAGUUGAUGAUGUUCCUCCUUAGCUUUGCCGUAUCGUUCUAUUACUGAUUUCAUGCUGGAAGAAUUCAUUCAAAAUGUCAGAAUUUUGUGUGGAAAUCGUGAAAUAUAUGACAAAGCAAUGUGGUAUAUUCGUGGGUCAAGAGGGUAGUCAAGGAGAAAGGAAGGGAACCAAAGAAAAUGGGAGGGAGGGGAGGGGAUGGUUUGAUGGUAAUUUUCUCUUCGCCUCUUCGAGAAAAUUUCAACCUCCAAAAUCCCACCAAAAAAAAAAAAAACUGGAGAGUGGAGAUUAUGCAAGUAUGCAGAAUUUUCAAGGGUUGGUUGAAAAUCCUCAAUUGUGCUUCCCUCUUUAUAACAUCCGAUCAGAGAAUCGUUUUAAUAAAACCUUCCCCUUCCGUCUCUAUUCCCCCCCCCCCAAAGCUCGCACCAACACCCCUUGGUGUAGAUCCAUUACUAGAAGUAUUAACAUUAUAUUUUUUUGUCAUUUUUUAUGUUACAACAAACUCAAAAUUAUGACUGUUUCCAUAUCUAUUUUUCUUUCUAGUUC